rnacentral:rRNA from 1 species
GACGAACGCUGGCGGCGUGCUUAACACAUGCAAGUCGAACGGUGAAGGGAUCAGCUUGCUGGUUCUGGAUGAGUGGCGAACGGGUGAGUAACACGUGAGUAACCUGCCCCCUUCUUCUGGAUAACCGCAUGAAAGUGUGGCUAAUACGGGAUAUUCUGCGCCUGCUGCAUGGUGGGUGUGGGAAAGAUAUUGUUUCGGUGGGGGAUGGGCUCGCGGCCUAUCAGCUUGUUGGUGGGGUGAUGGCCUACCAAGGCGGUGACGGGUAGCCGGCCUGAGAGGGUGGACGGUCACACUGGGACUGAGACACGGGCCAGACUCCUACGGGAGGCAGCAGUGGGGAAUAGUGCACAAUGGGCGCAAGCCUGAUGCAGCGACGCCGCGUGAGGGAUGGAGGCCUUCGGGAUGUGAACCUCUUUCGCCAGUGAAGCAGGCCUGUCCCUUGUGGGUGGGUUGACGGUAGCUGGAUAAGAAGCGCCGGCUAACUACGUG